ACGGAUUUGAAUGGUUUAGUGAGGCCUUCUGACUGGCGCCGCUACUCUGGCAACAGAGCGGCGGAUGCCGGGAAGUUGGUCAAACUUGAUCAUUUAGAGGAAGUAAAAGUCGUAACAAGGUUUCCGUAGGUGAACCUGCGGAAGGAUCAUUACCGAUGUGAAAAAUCCCAGGGUAAACCUUCUUUAACCAUGGGGAAUGGGGAACCACUUUUUUAGGGGCCGGCCCAGGGUGGGGCCUUUAAUGGGGGAAAAGGUCCUUCCCCCCGCCCCCCCCUUGGGGUUUUUAAUUUCCUUUUGAAGUUUAAAAAUGGAAAACUAUGUAUCAUGCGUUAAAUGUAUGAGAAAGAAAGAAAGAAAAAUGAGAGACAACUUUUGACGGUGGAUCUCUUGGCUCACGUAUCGAUGAAGAACGCAGCCAGCUGCGAUAUGUAGUGUGAAUUGCAGAAUUCAGUGAAUCAUUGAAUCUUUGAACGCAAAUGGCGCUCUUGGGUUCUCCCAGGAGCAUGUCUGUCUGAGUGUCGGAUUUUAUCGAACGCACUCGUGACUGCGGUAUUUCAUGGGCGCGGCAUUGAAGUGACCCUUAAAUCUACCUGGCCUUUGAUCGACAUGUCCCUUGGACGAGAAUUCCCUUGUGAUCCUUGUCUGUAAUGGAUCUUGAUUGCAUUUUCUUUCGACCAUACUUGCCUUCGCCCAAACAUGCUCUAAUCGAAACGGAGACCGAUCGUAGCCAUGACAUCUUGCCUUCAAAUCUGGCCUCGCUACCCGCUGAGUUUCCCGCUGAAAUUAAGCGUAUGAAUAGACACUAACAAAAGAUACUCUCAAGGACUCCCAUAGAAACGGGGAUAGCUCAGAUUUUAGCUCUCAUAUGCUUGCUUCGACGCUUGGUAGUUGCGAGUAGUAGCUUUCUAAGCCGAUCUCUCGUGCGAUCGUUGCUUGCCAACAGUACGUCGUACAGUACGACAUACCCGUCUGACGACUCCGGUCUGUCGCUCGCAUGGUCGCUUCACGAAUGUGCUGUUUGAUUAGUCACGUCGCGCUCGGGAGACAACCCCGGCCCAUUGUCAGCC
rnacentral:rRNA from 1 species